rnacentral:rRNA from 1 species
AUGAGUCGAUCUGAUGGGAUUAACAUCCCCGACGGCAAGUUCUACCUUGGAGAUGCUGGCUAUGCAUGUCGGCCGGGUAUUCUUCCACCCUUUAGGAAAAUCAGGUACCAUCUCAACGAGUUCUCUGGUAGGAACUAUCCUAGGACUGCACAGGAGCUGUUUAAUCUCAGACACUCCAGCCUUAGAGUAACUGUUGAGAGGGCAUUUGGAGCUCUGAAGAAUAGGUUUAACAUCCUGGAUCAGAAGCCAUUCCACCCACACUCCAAGUUAACCAAACUAUGUGCAUCUGAGGUUUUUUGGCCUGCAUCCCCUCAAACCGGCUCAAUAGAGCCAGGCUCGCCGGGCCAGGCUGGAUUGGCAAUGUAA